rfam:Triticum urartu cultivar G1812 contig207135, whole genome shotgun sequence.
GACCUACUCCCUCCGUUCGGAAUUACUUGUCGCAGAAAUGGAUGUAUCUAGAUGUAUUUUAGUUCUAGACACAUCCAUAUCCGAGACAAAUAAUUCCGAACGGAGGGAGUAACUU